GUAGUCAUAUGCUUGUCUCAAAGAUUAAGCCAUGCAUGUCUAAGUAUAAGCAAUUUAUACGGUGAAACUGCGAAUGGCUCAUUAAAUCAGUUAUCGUUUAUUUGAUAGUACCUUACUACAUGGAUACCUGUGGUAAUUCUAGAGCUAAUACAUGCUAAAAACCUCGACUUCGGAAGGGGUGUAUUUAUUAGAUAAAAAACCAAUGCCCUUCGGGGCUCCUUGGUGAAUCAUAAUAACUUAACGAAUCGCAUGGCCUUGCGCCGGCGAUGGUUCAUUCAAAUUUCUGCCCUAUCAACUUUCGAUGGUAGGAUAGUGGCCUACCAUGGUGGCAACGGGUAACGGGGAAU
rnacentral:rRNA from 3 species